rnacentral:rRNA from 1 species
AUGAUUUCGGUACCUGGAAUCAUACCAGUCAAUGGGUGGUGGUUUAUCGCUCGUUUAGCUGACGGCGGUCAUUUGAUGCUCAUUCGCACGUACCAAAUUGACCAAACCAUUUCAUCAAACCACGUGCAGUACAAUGCCUGGGGCGUUUGUGACUGUGAUGGCUAUGGCUGCUUCGUGUUCGGGAAAGAUCCCAGCUCCGUUGGGCCAGGCGUAUUCAACUGGAGGCGGGUUUACAACCUCGACAACCACUCCAUGGCAGACGUUGCGGCGCCGUCACCAACUAUCGCUUCUAACCCUAACCAACCGGCCGGCGGGCGGUGGUAUUCGUCGGAAGCACGAGACGGCUUGUUUUUGUUCUUCCUCGCGCGGAGGAAGUCGUCUUCAUCCCCGCCGUUGGAGCUGCAAGGGGAUCUCGCAUGUUCUCCGGGUAGAGGCUGCGGGGUGUAUGAGGUGUUUUUUUUUUCUCGUGAUGAGUUUGAUUGGAAGGUGGUAGUUGAUGCUGCUGCGGUAGCUUUGGCCAAGGUGUCACUUGUUAAUGGUGAAGGCGGUGGUGGGAAUGCAGGUGAAGGGGGUGGUAUGGUUGAUAGCAAAGCAAAUGCUAGUGGAAUAAAUGAGUCGUGCAAAGUCGAUGGUGUCUUCUGCUCUCCUCAUAUCGGUGCCGACAGUGUUGAAGGUAUUUCGUCGCCGAAUGUUAACGAUUUCAUCAUGCAAUCUUGCCAUGACAUCAAUGCCCAACAUGUUGCGCCUAAUUCCCCACUGACGCACAACAUGGUUGCGCCUCCCAAUGUGAACCAUUCAGUCAUUGGCAAUGAGAUUGUUACACAGGAUUAUAUGGUCUCACAACAGUUAAGGAAUGAGGAGAUAAGGCAGCUAGAGAAGCGGAAUUUUUUUUCAGAGAAAGUUGAUGCUCAUGAGAGGAAGAAGCGGUUGAGGCUCCCCAAAGGUCUAGUUGAUACCUCAAAUGUCACCAGCAAUGCUCAUGUUCCGGAUACAGGAGCUGGAGUCCGUGUGCAGGUUGGCACAUCACGGGAUCCUGCCAGUGGUGUAGCCAGUAAGACUGUUGUUCCAUCUCCGCGUCGGAGUCCACGCAUUGCCAGUGGUCCAGUGGUUGAUCGUGUCUAUCCGAGUAUUAAACUUGGUGGAAAGCGUUGUUCAAAAGCUGGAGGUGAUUUUGUAGGAGGUCCUUCUUUUGAUGGCAUUGGGCUCGACGGGGCUAAUGUUGUUCAUAGGAAGCGCCGGCCUAAGGUUGUUGGGAGUGGACCAAAGAAGAAGGUUGCAAAGUCUGCGGUGUCAAACGCUGGUGCUUGUGAUAGGAUCAAUGUAACUGUUCGCUGUUCUUUGGGAGAGGUUUCUGAGGCGGCUGCUCUGCUUGAGACACGACAUAGAGAUAUUCUUUGUAAGGCUGGUUUUGGUUGUGUAUUUAACUGGGUCUUGAAGGGCAAUGUGUUGCAUCUUCUGAUGUGCCACUUGAUGAAGAAGAUUGACACGGCCACGAUGCGGAUUGACUGUGGCCCUAAUAAAGUUCUUGUAGUCAGCAGAGAAGCCGUGCAUCAGGCUUUUUGGUUCCCCAUGGGUGAUGACACAGCUCCCAGGACAGCUGAUAGCGGCCAUGACGAGUCAAUGGCUAGAUUUAAGGCAGAGUUGGGUUUCAGCAAAGCUUCUGUGGCAGCUUGCAGGGAGGCGGCAAUGCUAGAUGGUAUUGUUUUUGAAGAUAUGGCAACGAUGGAUUUUUGCCAGUUAGUAGUGGAUGAGUUAAAGCGUGCAGCUAUCAGAUGGCAAGAUCCAAAUAUCAUUCAAGCAGGUCCAGAAGGUUGUGGAGUAGUGCUAGUCCUUAUGUAUCUUGAUUGUUGCCUACUGAAGGCCGUGUCUGUGAUGCAUGUGCAGACUCCGCGUGCAAAUUUCCUGACAGAGAAGGUGCUAAAUUCAAUUUUCUUGAAAGAUAUUGUAAAGAAGGGUGGGAAAAUUUUGGACGGCUAUGUUUUUGGAAAACUUGGGUGGAAAUCCCGUAACCAGAUUGCAUAUUGCCAGCAAGUUCCCCUGGGCAAAGUCGUGAUCGCGCUUUUCCUGAUGCACAUGUCCCUACCUGCGCGCCAAAACAACAUGCACAGGAUGAGGCUGAUUGAUGGCUUAUUACGGAAGGUGGAUGAGUUGGCCGCUGAAGUUCCCACGACGUCUGAUCGGCUGGGCUGCAUUGCUGGCAUUUUCCUUGAAGGUCAUGGACCAAGGGAAGAAUCAAUGAAGGAGGCUACAGAGCGUGAUGUUGCUAGCAUUGGUAGUAUCCGGAGCGUGACAUCACACAUUUGCACCGCUUUCAAUGACUUGAAGAAGAAACAAGAUGCCAUAUGCAAAGGCUUUGAAAAUGAUGCUCGUAUUAUUGUGAGUCAGAUUAGCAAGCAGAAGAAUGACGUGUCUGCCCCUGUACGUGGCGAUGAUUGUACCGGGCAACGGGGUGAGGAGGUUGUUGUGAAUGCGCCUGAUGAUGAUGAAGAUGAGAAGCAAGAGCCCCCUGCUGAAUCUCCUCCGCAUGAUUUUAGUGACGACAAUGCCAUUGAUGACGACUUGCUGGGUGGUGAUUCUGAUGGGGGUUGCAAGGGUGUUGACGACAUCGUUGAUUAUAUGGAGGGAGUUUUUGCACCAGACCAGCCCGUAGCCCAAGGUGAUUGCGACAAAUCUAAUGAGCCAAAGCUUGGUCAGCAAGUUCAUCCGGGUAGUGUUGGCAUUUCUGAAGGGAAGCACGUUGGUUUUGAUUGCCAAGGCAACGUAUCAGUUACGAUUGAAGGUGGUUUAGAAUUUGAAGAUCAUGCUUCAAAUGAAUCUAGCCAGGUUGUCGCUCACAAUGUUGAUCGUGGUUCAGGUUUGCUUGAUGGUAGACAGGCACCUGAAGGUGCUUGUGAGAGUGUGUUUGUCAUGGAUGGCGUUGGUGAUGGUGUCAAUCAUGCAGCAAGUUGUGAAGGAAAACAAGUGUUGAGGGAUACAUCUAUGCCUGAAAGCACUGGAGCCGGAGGUGAUGUAUUUCCUAUUCCGGUCCGCGAAAUGCAUGUUGUUGACGGAGCAUGUGCAUCGAACAAGGAUGCGAAGCCUACUGUUGUUUUUGAAUUUCUGAAGGAUGCUACAGUUGUUGACACCCACCCAGGUGGUGUUGCUCAUGCUACUGUAGCAGGCCCCAAGGACGCAAGGAAUCCUGUAGAAGUUCCCGAGGGGUUAGCUGCAAAGCUGAAAGAUAUAAUUUCAAAAGCUGCGAUGCGCGGUAAUUAUAGUGCUGAGCCUCAGCCUGAAGUUGAACCCAACGUUGACGAAGUUGGUGCUGAUGGCGCUUCUGAGGAGACAGAUAGUGAUGACUUGGGAGUGUCAAUAAAUGAGAUAGAUUCAUCUCAAACAGUCUCCAGUUUUACGCAAACCCCGGCCACACCUGAAGCGGUGCAACGCAUGAAGGACUUAUACUUUGCUGUUAUGAGGUUAAGGAAGGACAAGAAUAAAAAGGAUGAGGUGCUGUUUGAGAAUGCGUUUUGCAAAGCAACUGUCAAGCAGUUUGCUGAGUUUUUCAGAGUUGGUGGCAUGCUGAACACUGCGGUUGCUGCUGUAGGAAUUUUUCUUCUUCAUUCGAAAUACCAAAAUUCUUCUAAGAUGGUGGCUCCAUUUCAUAUUUCGCAAUCUAUCUGGAAGGGGUCCUUUGAUAAUAGGCACUUGAUCAGAUUUUUCUCUGCCUAUGCCGAUGAGCCGCUGGAUAAGAAGGAUAUUGUACUCUUUGGUGUCUUUGACCCUCCAGCUACCAGGGAAGGUGCGGGGCACUAUUGUGUAGUUGCGCUAAACAUUAAGCAUCGUCGUUUUGAGCUGCUUGAUUCUUGGCACCUUCCCGGUACUGAGAGUGGCAUAAGGGUCAUAAACAGGAUGGCGAAGAACAUUAAGCAGCUUUGGAGGAAUGGCUCGUCUGAGCGCAAGAAGAAGAAGUUGGAUCCGGCAAACAUUGACCAUUUCCGUUUGCAACAUGCCGUUGUGCCCCAGCAGGAAAACCCUGGUCGUCCUAUUUUAUUAUCAGCACACGGCCCCUUUCUAUAUUUUUUUCCUGUGCUCACCCGCCUUCCGUGUGCGCUCUUUUUUUGUGGUUUUUGUGUUGCAGAUCUAGGGCUAGACGAGCCUAAAUUUAGUUUGUUCGAGAGCCAAUGUGAGGCGCCAGAAAUUCAGGUAAUAUCGGAUGAUGACAUAUUGAAGUCAGUUGAAGCUGUUAAAGUAAAGAAGGACAGUGUGCACUCAAAAUCAAAGGGGGUGACUUGGGCUGCCCCGAAGGCCGUGGAUCGUUGUGUUGAGAGUGAUGAUGAUUCUUUUAUGCCUCCGGCACCUAAAAAGGGUUUGCCGCCCAGAGCUGCUAGUCAUAUUAAAGCGAUAGUGAAAUCACCUCUUGUUCUGAGUGAUGAUGAUGAUUUCGUUUUGCAUGGUGAGAGAACAGUGUUCACCAGGAGCAAAUCAGUGGAGGAGCCAUUGGUAGUGUCUAAUAAAAGGCCAGUUGCUCUAUCAACGAGGCUGAGAAUGCCUGUGUGUGCGCUCAAGCCAUUCAAGUUUCCAUUUGUGGCUGUUGCAAAACAAAUUUUGGACCUAAUACUUAGCAAGGAGUUUAUCGACAAGUAUCCACAGGUCCCUCUGUUUAAGUGCACUCCUCCAACUGGCAAUGGAUUUAUAGUUGAUGCUAAAUAUCUGGUUACCUGCUUUGGUCAUGUCGGUUGCAUUGAUACUGAGUUGAUGGAUCUUGUGAUCAGCUAUUGGAAGGGAAGCCCUGACUACAAUCAUGUGUAUAAAUCCGGAGAUAGGGUGUUGCUCAGCCCGUAUGUGAUAAAUUAUCUUCUUGAAAUUGAUUCGUACCAUCGGCCAGUUGAUGUAGAUGGGCAGGCGAUCCCGAGGCCGCCCUUCAAUGUUAAACUUGCUGCUCAGAAGUUCAGGCUAUACAUAAAAGAGAACCUGCUCGCUGCAAACCUGAUCAUGCUACCAUAUUGGAAUCGGAAUCAUUUCACACUGUACACUAUGAACAAGUAUCGUGAGUCCCUGGAUAUCCAUGACUCGUGGAGAUAUACAGGGCGUAACCUUUCAAGGAACCGACUCCAUGGAGAACGUGUCGAAAUUAUGUCCAGGAUGUCGUUGUUGAUGAAGGAGGUGUAUGGCGAAGCUGCAUACAACUCUUCAAGACAGCCCCGUUGGGAACAUCUGGCAGAGAGAUGUAGCUACGCGAAAAUGCCAGAGCAAGGGGUUAACAAAUGUGGCUUUUACAUGUUAAAAGCUGCUUUUUUGUAUGAUGGCAUCAAGCUAGUAGAGGAAGUGAAGAAGCGUGAUCCACAUUCUGCGUACUGGAAGGCCGAGUGCCUUUUUUAUGUUCUUUUCCACCCUAAUAAUGAGUUAACUGCACUAUUGUUCAAGAUGGCGACGGGGGCCAUGGUCAAGAGAGGGAGCCGUCACCAGCGUGGAGCCGCGUGCUCACCAAAUCAGGAUCUGAUUAUGAUUGUCAUGGAUAAGGAGACACAGGCGGUGGCGCUCACAGGAUCCUACUGGAAUUUGGCGUCCUGGGGCAACGACAGAAGUUCACUGAAGCAGAGAAAGCCUGCUAACUGCUCUGUGCUCAGAACUGUUGCUAACUGA